UACGUAGGGUGCAAGCGUUGUUCGGAAUUACUGGGCGUAAAGGGCCAGUAGGCGGCCAACUAAGUCCGAACGUGAAAUCCCCAGGCUUAACCUGGGAACUGCGUCGGAUACUGGAUGGCUUGAAUUCGGGAGAGGGAUGCAGAAUUCCAGGUGUAGCGGUGAAAUGCGUAGAUAUCUGGAGGAAUACCGGGUGGCGAAGGCGGCAUCCUGGACCGGC
rnacentral:rRNA from 1 species